rnacentral:rRNA from 1 species
AGCGAACGCUGGCGGCAGGCUUAACACAUGCAAGUCGAGCGGGCACUUUCGGGUGUCAGCGGCGGACGGGUGAGUAACGCGUGGGAACGUGCCCUCUGGUUCGGAAUAACUCAGGGAAACUUGAGCUAAUACCGGAUACGCCCUUUUGGGGAAAGGCUUGCUGCCGGAGGAUCGGCCCGCGUCUGAUUAGCUAGUUGGUGAGGUAACGGCUCACCAAGGCGACGAUCAGUAGCUGGUCUGAGAGGAUGAUCAGCCACACUGGGACUGAGACACGGCCCAGAACCCUACGGGAGGCAGCAGUGGGGAAUAUUGGACAAUGGGCGCAAGCCUGAUCAAGCCAUGCCGCGUGAGUGAUGAAGGCCUUAGGGUUGUAAAGCUCUUUUAUCCGGGACGAUAAUGACGGUACCGGAGGAAUAAGCCCCGGCUAACUUCGUG